AUGAAACAAGACUUUCCUAAUUGGCUGCGGGUGGUUGGCGGACCGGGGUUACAACAGAAGGUUGAAGCACCGUGGUACAUCACCUACCCAGCUCCGUUGUGGAGCUCCCACUCCUUCUGUCUUACUCCGCGUGAAAAUUUGAUAUUCGGAUCGGACGGUGGCGACGUUCGUGGUCGUGCCUUUCCUGGAGGCAUCGUCUUUGAGUCCUUGGUCCAGCGUGUCCGUCGCACAUCUUCCCGGAUGACCGCUCCUCGCGCUGAACCACACCAUGGCGUCUUCACGGCCACGCUCGAGUCAGCUGCACGGCGUCAGGUUAUUCCACCCGAUCUCCUCCCUUACUGGAACCUCCGGUCCUCCUCGAUCUCGCCCUCUUCCAUCUCCUCUGGGCCCGCCGAUGUGGGCCGCGUCUCCGUGUCCUCGGCCAUGCCGGCGGCGGCAGCGAUGCGUUCUGGCGUCGGCGCCGACGAAGUUCACGUCUCAUCCCCUUGCCCAUUAAUCCCGUGUCUGGACCAAGCACGACACCACCUCGGUGUUGCACGCCGCGACAAUGCCCGCCCGGGCUCAAACCCUCCUCCCCCACGAUUUCCUCCUCCUCGACGCGCCGCUCUCUUCGUCCCUUCUCUCCUCCGCUUGCCGCUUGGUCGUAGAACUAGUCAGGGCAGGGGACGACAUGGCCGCCUCUAUACAUUGUCGUCGUCGACGACCGCCAGAGGAGCAGCUUCCCCUGCACGCGCCCCAUCCUGCAGAGCGCGCUCCAGCUCAUGGGCUGCAAGCCACGCCUCACCUUCAAGUUGUUUGGCCGUGCACCAGGUUAGGCUGACAGCGGUGCAUCAGGUACAGAGACAAUCCCACGGCGGCCUUGUUCGGAACUUGUUCAUGGGUAGGCCAGGUCUUGUUCAGACGUGGCCAGGCCUUGGCGUAGCCUUGUGGGCUGUAGCCUUUUGGGUAGGUUUGGUGUGGCUGGGCAUCAAGGCGUCAAUGCCCUUAGGGCCAGAACAGAGAAGAAGCAGAGCAGCUAGACUCGGUUGUUCAAUGAUGUGCAUUCGAACAAAGCACGUCAAGAGGUUCAAAAUAAAGAAACUGAAACUGAAGGUCCACUUUCAAGUGAGCCAACAGAUGGGAACCCAACAGAGAUCUAGUCCUAAUAAGACUCCAGGUUCAAGGCCAAUUAUUAUUUCUUCAAAUGCGCUCAUACAAGCUGCAGCAAGGAAUUCUCGAAUGUUUAAAGCAAUGGAUCCAGAACUAGCUGGCCUGGACUCUAGAUCACAGACCCUUUAG
rnacentral:rRNA from 1 species